rnacentral:rRNA from 1 species
CCGACACAGGUGGGUGGGAUGAGUAUUCUAAGGCGCGUGGAAGAACUCUCUUUAAGGAACUCUGCAAAAUAGCACCGUAUCUUCGGUAUAAGGUGUGGUUAGCUUUGUAUUAGGAUUUACUCCGAAAGCGAAGAAACUUACAACAAAGAGUCCCUCCCGACUGUUUACCAAAAACACAGCACUCUGCUAACUCGUAAGAGGAUGUAUAGGGUGUGACGCCUGCCCGGUGCUCGAAGGUUAAUUGAUGGGGUUAGCAUUAGCGAAGCUCUUGAUCGAAGCCCGAGUAAACGGCGGCCGUAACUAUAACGGUCCUAAGGUAGCGAAAUUCCUUGUCGGUUAAAUACCGACCUGCAUGAAUGGCGUAACGAGAUGGGAGCUGUCUCAAAGAGGGAUCCAGUGAAAUUGUAGUGGAGGUGAAAAUUCCUCCUACCCGCGGCAAGACGGAAAGACCCCGUGGACCUUUACUACAGCUUGACACUGCUACUUGGAUAAGAAUGUGCAGGAUAGGUGGGAGGCUUUGAGUAUAUGACGCCAGUUGUAUAUGAGCCAUUGUUGAGAUACCACUCUUUCUUAUUUGGGUAGCUAACCAGCUUGAGUUAUCCUCAAGUGGGACAAUGUCUGGUGGGUAGUUUGACUGGGGCGGUCGCCUCCCAAAUAAUAACGGAGGCUUACAAAGGUUGGCUCAGAACGGUUGGAAAUCGUUCGUAGAGUAUAAAGGUAUAAGCCAGCUUAACUGCAAGACAUACAAGUCAAGCAGAGACGAAAGUCGGUCUUAGUGAUCCGGUGGUUCUGUGUGGAAGGGCCAUCGCUCAAAGGAUAAAAGGUACCCCGGGGAUAACAGGCUGAUCUCCCCCAAGAGCUCACAUCGACGGGGAGGUUUGGCACCUCGAUGUCGGCUCAUCGCAUCCUGGGGCUGGAGCAGGUCCCAAGGGUAUGGCUGUUCGCCAUUUAAAGCGGUACGCGAGCUGGGUUCAGAACGUCGUGAGACAGUUCGGUCCCUAUCUGCCGUGGGCGUAAGAAGAUUGAAGAGAUUUGACCCUAGUACGAGAGGACCGGGUUGAACAAACCACUGGUGUAGCUGUUGUUCUGCCAAGAGCAUCGCAGCGUAGCUAAGUUUGGAAAGGAUAAACGCUGAAAGCAUCUAAGCGUGAAGCCAACUCUAAGAUGAAUCUUCUCUAAGCUCUCUAGAAGACUACUAGUUUGAUAGGCUGGGUGUGUAAUGGAUGAAAGUCCUUUAGCUGACCAGUACUAAUAGAGCGUUUGGCUUAUCUUUAAUAAAGCAU